ensembl:misc_RNA Metazoa_SRP Metazoan signal recognition particle RNA
GCUGGGCAUGGUGGUGUGUGCCUGUAGUCUCAGCUACUCAGGAAGCUGAGGUGGGAGGAUCUCUUGAGCCCAGGAGUUCAAGAUUACAGUGAGCUAUGAUCAUACCACUGUGCUCCAGCCUGGGCAACAGAGCAAGACCCUGUCUCUU